rnacentral:rRNA from 1 species
UACGUAGGGGGCAAGCGUUGCCCGGAUUUAUUGGGCGUAAAGAGCGUGUAGGCGGCCUGGUAGGUCAGCUGUGAAAACUCGAGGCUCAACCUCGAGACGCCGGUUGAAACCAUCAGGCUAGAGUCCGGAAGAGGAGAGUGGAAUUCCCGGUGUAGCGGUGAAAUGCGCAGAUAUCGGGAAGAACACCCGUGGCUAAGGCGGCUCUCUAGUACGGUACUGACGCUGAGACGCGAAAGCGUGGGGAGCGAACAGG